CCUAAAAACACACUAGCAGCUUGAUUUGAUCCUUGGAGAUCUGAAGUCGUGAUCUUGUUGUUGGUGAUGUUGUUACCAAGAAGAAAGUUAUCGAGAGGCCUUGUUGUUGUCGUGAGUCUCGUGGAGAAGAAGCGUUGUUAGAAGAACGUAAGCUUUCACCACCGUCGGUCACCACCGCUGGUUAGUCCGCCUCCGUGUGUCACCGGAGAUGUCAGGCGUUGUCACCGGAGCAGUCGUGGUCCAUCGGAGAUAUAUUUAAGGGUAAGGAAACCCUAUUUUCUUAUGUAGCUUGCACAAGAAGUUACUGACCCUGUCUUAUGAUUUGUUGUUGUUCUUGCGUUGUUGAGCGAUGAGGACCUAACCGCUGAAGCUUGAAUGGCCGUGUCGAUUUCAAGCCGCCGAUCAGAUCUGUCGAGAGUAAUUGUCGAGAAAGCUUGAGGAUUGUUGUUGAAGUGGGUCUUCUGUUGAUGCUAGAUAUAGACUAAGGAUUCAAUCCAAUGGCUAAGGUUAGUAAGUUUAAGAGUUGCAGUUUGAAGUUUGUUCGUUGGUGAAUUUUAAAGAAAGAAACGUUUUUGGUCAGACCGGAUGGAUUACAUGUUGUUCCGUCUUUUGCGACGGUACGGGUGUUACAAUUUUUUUCUAGUUA